GUUUCUUUCUCCAGCCUCUCUUAGCAGCUGGGAAGAGAGAGUGGAGAGAAAGAGGGAUCAGGACAGAUGUGGACACGGCAGAAGAAGAGGAGCCUGCUGUGACGGACUUCCUUGAAAUGACAAACAAGUAAAUAUUUAAGGGAAUAAGUAAAACCAAAAGAAGGACUCAUGGGUUGGAAGAAUGGAAGGAGAAGGAAAAGGCAGAUGGGAUAGGGAUAGACAUUGAAGAUUGCAAACAGGCUAGUAGCAAAGAAAGCAAAAACAAACAGGGUUUUUAGAAGCCAGAUAAACCUUGGAUUCCUGGUGUUGUCACUUCUGAGCUAUCUCUGUUACCUUAGGUAACAUACACAGCUGUCAAGACCUGAAGUACAAAGAAAAGAGGAACUUACAGAAAGAUGGAAGAAGAGUAUGCCAUGCAGAUGAAGCUGGGAAUUAAAGACCCAGAUAGAGGAAUAAGGCAAAAAGAGUAUGACUACUAGGAAGAGAAUGGAUUCAGGAAUCUUCUGUGUAGGUGGAAGGUAAGAAUGGAAACAUGAAAAAUAGUUAAGGACUACUGCAAAAGUCCAGGCAAGAGAUGAUGGAUACCUGAACUGAGGUUGUGGUGGGAAAGAAAAACAGACAGAUUUCAUAUAUAUUUUUGAAAAACAAGGAGAUUUGAUGAUUCAUUGAACCCAGAAAAUUAAUAAAAGUAAUAAAAGAUAAUUCCUACUUUUUUUGGCUUGAGCAUGUGAAUAAGUAGUGAUGCCAGUUAUUAUUAAGCUGGGGAAGGGUGAGGAAGUGAUAUAGACAGGAGGCGGGGAAAUACUGGGUAGAAGAGGGCAGACCCCAACGAGGGCCACACUCUCAAGCCUGGACCUGCAGUCCAAAGUGAGAACAUGCAUUCCUGUUUUCCUGCCCAAAUUUGCCUUUUCCAAAACCAUGUUGGCUGUCCCCACCUCCCCAUCCUGUACCCAUAAAAACCCCAAGCCCCACCAGCAGAGUGGCAGAGUGGCAGAGGAGAGAAGAGAGGCAGCAGAAGGACAUCAAAGAGAAGCAGCUUGACUUCAGAGGAACAGCUUGACAGCAGGACUUCGCAGAAGAGUUCCACAGGGGACGGCUGAACUCCAGGAGAAGACCACCUUCCCACUCCAUCCGCUUUCCAGCUCCCCAUCCUGCCAAGAGCCACUUCUACUGCUCAGUAAAAUCCUCCACAUUCACCACCCUUCAAUUCAUUCAUAUGACCUUAUUCUUCCUGGAUGCCAGACAAGUACUCGGGUACCAAGAGGGCGGGUGCAAAAGGCUGUCACCCUGACCCUCCACUGAUCUGUUAAACACUUAAGUUGUCUGUGGAUGGCAAAGCUAAAUGAGCACACUGUAACACAUGCCCUCUAGGACUCCGGAGGUCACAGGUUCCCCUCCCCUCCCCCCCACCCCCCAGGAAGCUUCCACUGGACUGCACAGGAUUCUACUCCUGCGGAUGCCCAGAAGCACUUGUCCCAGUCCCUGUACCCACUCACCUGCAUGCUCCCCGUCCCGUGAGGGGAUGAGAGCUGCGAGCUGAGUAAACAAGUCAAUCCCUUUGUGAGUCCCGCGAAGGGGUCAAGGGAACUAUCCCAUUUCUGAAGGAAGGGGCUGGAGGGGUGUUGUAAUAAAAAAUUCUAUUGGACAUAUUAAAUUUGAGAUGCUUACUAGACAUACAAAUGGAGAUUUCAAAAAGAUAGCUGAAUAUGAGUCUGAAACACAUCACUGCCUUCUAAAUUUUAUUUUAAUCAUAUGCAUAUCUGUUAACAACUAGUUUAUACUUCUGGUUGUAUUAGGGAAGAAAGAUGGUUUAAAUUUUCUUUAACUAUUAAGUAGAUCCUCCUCUUAAUUGUGACUGAGUCUUGAAAUGCAUACCAAAGGUCGUAGGCUCUCUGUACUUCCUCUUCUUUCUAAACUCCCGAUGGAUUUCUGAUAAGCAGAAUGCUCCCCCUAUUAAUUCCAUCUACUGCCUGGAAACUGUGGAUAUGUUUCAAUAUAUGCCUAACUGGACUCUGCGGAUGUAAUUAAGGCUACUAAUUAGUGACUAAAUAGAUUCCUCUGGAUUACUUAGGUGGGCCCGAUCUAAAAAAAUUUGCUCUUGAAAGCAGAGAACCUUGUCCAGCUAGGAGCAGAAGAGAGCCAUGGCAACAUGUCAUGAAAUUUCACGUGUGAGAAUGAUCAGCACACCAUUACUGGCUCUGAGAUAUUACAGCCUAUGUAGAAGCACCAGAGAGAGGGCUCUAAGAGCUAAGGGAGCCCCCUAGAUGACAGUCAACCAAGAAACAGAGACCCUAGUCCUAUAACCAUAAGGUACUGGAUUCUGCCAGAAGUAUGGAUCAGCUUGGAAGUAAAUUCUUCCCCAGAAACUCCAGAUAAGAGCCUGCCAGAAUUCUGACCUACAGAACAGUGAGAUAAUAAAUGGGUGUUAUUUUAAGCCACUAUUUAAGCCACUAUUUAGUUAUAGCAAUAAUAGAAAAUUAACACAAGACUUAAAUGUAAUAAGGUGAUGGGGAUGAGGAAAGUGGGAUUCUAUUUCCAGAGUACUAAAAUGUAUGAAAUAUGGACAUGUGAAACUCCUAGUCAUGGUUGAUGUGGGCACUGUCUCCCUUUAACACUUAGAGCCCUUCGUGUUGAUGAGAAAAUUUCAUUGAUCUACUAACGCCCUAGCCAAGACUAUAGCCAGGUAGUCCCAUAACUAAAUCUCCAGAUGGGCUUUCUAAAUACCUGAAAUGUGAAGAUGAAACUUCUUCCCUCAACCACCACUACCACCACAGAAAUGGUGCAGGGCAUGGGAUAGUCACUCCUUUCACUCACAUGAGAACCCUCAAGAGCACUGAUAGGGCAAACUGCGAACCUCAGGCAUUUGACUGCUAGUGUAGUUGCCUGACUCCACAGCAUAAAGAGGUGAAGGUAGGGGGCUAUAGGCUCAGACAGCAACAUUACAAAUGUCCAGUUUUAAAAAACACAUAUUUCCCCUUCACCCAUAAUUACUACGAUAGAAACCCAAUUUUCACCAUUCAGAUAAUAACCUGAAAACCUCACUCUUCAGAUAAUGUGUGUAAAAGCAUUCUGGAUAUGAAAGGCUGUAAAGUUAUACUAAUACAAAAUGUAAGAAACUUCAGGUAAACCAGUAGUCAAAAAUCAUGCAUAGAAGUUCCAUUUAUGUAAGACGACUUUCUCCUAGCUAAUUCCUACUUGUUAAUCAAAGUGUAGUUCAAUGUUAUUUCUUCUCUUCUAGUUCCUAAAAUAUAUUAACACCCACGUUACUGUACUGACCACAUUGUAGUAAUUGCAUGUUUAUACUUCUUUUUGUGAGUUUCUCAUAUCAUUUCUUACCAGAAUCUAACACACUGAUGAUCACACAGUAUACACUCAAUAAAUGUUUUUAAAUUGAUUAAUUUCUUCAAGAUACCAUAGCUUUUUUAUGAGAUAGCUUUAGGUAUCUAAAAGAUGAGUCACAGACAGAAAUAAAGGCCCUUUAUUAGGCCCCAAUAUAUCACAUAUAUUUCUACACUACUUUAGGGAGCUAUGCAUUUCCAGUCUUCAAUUUCUCUCUUUUAAUUUAAUAUUAUUGAGUGUAAAAAUGUUAAGAAAAUACAAAGCUUACUGCCUAGAAUAUUUUGGAAUCCAUUUAUAUUAGACUAUGUAACAUAUUCUAAAUGUUGUAAGAUUGACUAUAACAAUGCUAACUUAUUAUAUGUCAGAUAUCAUUCUAAGUGUUUCACAUGAAGUAAAUAAAGCAUUUAUUCCUCAC
rnacentral:lncRNA from 1 species